rnacentral:rRNA from 1 species
UACAGAGGUCUCAAGCGUUGUUCGGAUUCAUUGGGCGUAAAGCGCGUGUAGGCGGCCCACUAAGUCUGAUGUGAAAGCCCGGGGCUCACCCCCGGAAGUGCAUUGGAAACUGGUGGACUCGAGUCCCGGAGAGGAGAGUGGAAUUCCUGGUGUAGCGGUGAAAUGCGUAGAUAUCAGGAGGAACACCGGUGGCGAAGGCGGCUCUCUGGACGGUGACUGACGCUGAGACGCGAAAGCGUGGGGAGCAAACAGG